UUAAGUGAAUGCCCGAAAUGCAAAUCAUCAACAUGGAAAGAUGGCGAUGCUGUGAAGAGGGUUCCUCAUAAUGUUCUGAGACAUUUUCCAAUUACACCAAGAUUGCAGAGGUUGUUUCAUGAUGCUGAAACAAGAGAGGAUGUACUGUGGCAUUGUAGGAACCAGGAGUGCAGAGAUCAGAAUGUAAUGAGCCAUCCAUCUCAUGGUAGUGAGUGGCAAAGCUUCAAUCAGAAACACAAAAAGUUUGUUGCUCACCCGAGAAACAUUAGACUUGGCUUAGCUUCAGAUGGAUUUAACCAAUUUGGCCACCAGAGCACCACAUAU
rnacentral:rRNA from 1 species